rnacentral:rRNA from 1 species
CAGUUUUGGCGGAGCCAUCCUUGGGAUACCACCCUUGUAGUACUGGGACUCUAACCAUAGGCCAUGAAUCUGGUCUUGGGACACUGUCAGGUGGGCAGUUUGACUGGGGCGGUCGCCUCCCAAAAGGUAACGGAGGCGCUCAAAGGUUCUCUCAGUACGGUCGGAAAUCGUACGUAGAGUGUAAAGGCAAAAGAGAGCUUGAUUGCAAGACAUACAGGUCGAGCAAGGAUGAAAAUCGGACUUAGUGAUCCGGUGGUUCUGCGUGGAAGGGCCAUCGCUCAACGGAUAAAAGCUACCUUGGGGAUACCAGGCUUCUCUCCGCAAAGAGUCCCCAUCGGGGGGGAGGUUUGGCACCUCGAUGGCGGCUCAUCACAUCCUGGGGCUGUAGUAGGUCACAAGGGUUGGGCUGUUCGCCGAUUAAAGUGGUACGGGGGCAGGGUUCAGAACGGCGUGAGACAGUUCGGUACCUAUCCGACGCAGGCGUCGGAAAUUUGAGUAGACCUGUCCUUUGUACGAGAGCACCGGGAUGGACGUACCUCUGGUGUACCAGUUGUUCUGCCAAGGGCAUGGCUGGGU